ACGAACGCUGGCGGCGUGCUUAACACAUGCCAGUCGAACGGAAAGGCCCUGCUUUUGUGGGGUGCUCGAGUGGCGAACGGGUGAGUAACACGUGAGUAACCUGCCCUUGACUUUGGGAUAACUUCAGGAAACUGGGGCUAAUACCGGAUAGGAGCUCCUGCUGCAUGGUGGGGGUUGGAAAGUUUCGGCGGUUGGGGAUGGACUCGCGGCUUAUCAGCUUGUUGGUGGGGUAGUGGCUCACCAAGGCUUUGACGGGUAGCCGGCCUGAGAGGGUGACCGGCCACAUUGGGACUGAGAUACGGCCCAGACUCCUACGGGAGGCAGCAGUGGGGAAUAUUGCACAAUGGGCGGAAGCCUGAUGCAGCAACGCCGCGUGCGGGAUGACGGCCUUCGGGUUGUAAACCGCUUUCGCCUGUGACGAAGCGUGAGUGACGGUAAUGGGUAAAGAAGCACCGGCUAACUACGUG
rnacentral:rRNA from 1 species